GUGACGGGCGCCUGCGUCAUCGCUGAAGUCGAUGACGCGGCAUUCGUAGGUGCCCUCAUCAGACGAUUUGACCCGGGAGAGGCGGAGUUUAUGGGAGAUGUUGCUUCCCACGACCUUCACCACCUGGCAAAGGUAAUGCGCAGCUCACUUCGAAGUUAAUAAGCAGGGAAAAGCCAAAUUUGUUCUUGAGUCACUACAAGAUCGUGGCGUCUCCCUCAGUAAAAGGUACUCCCUGCUUGUAGGAAACUGUUCGCCUGGCCAUAAAGAUGCAGGGGCGUUUAUGAGAAUCUGAAGAUGAUUCAGUGCAGGCCGUACCCCCUCAAGAGGACACUUAACCACCCACCAGCACCAGCGCUGCCUGCUCUUUGGCUGACACUGUGAUUCUACAAACCCAUCAAGGAUGAAGCGAACGUGUUGAUGGGUCCGCUGGAGCGCUCGCCGCACUGAGUGAGAAUCACGUCCGUGUGUGUCGUACAGCGCAAGUACAACAUCUGCGAAUCAUCCUGAACAAGAAAUUUAAAUGCAAUCACCAGGCUUUUGUGCCUCAUUUCUUCAUGUAACACCAGAAGCAAACAGAAG